rnacentral:rRNA from 1 species
GAUGAACGCUAGCGGCAGGCUUAAUACAUGCAAGUCGUGGGGCAGCAUGAGUAGCAAUACUUGAUGGCGACCGGCAAACGGGUGCGGAACACGUACACAACCUUCCGAUAAGUGGGGAAUAGCCCAGAGAAAUUUGGAUUAAUACCCCGUAACAUAUAGAGUAGGCAUCUUCUUUAUAUUAUAGCUUCGGCGCUUAUUGAUGGGUGUGCGUCUGAUUAGGUAGUUGGCGGGGUAACGGCCCACCAAGCCUACGAUCAGUAGCUGAUGUGAGAGCAUGACCAGCCACACGGGCACUGAGACACGGGCCCGACUCCUACGGGAGGCAGCAGUAAGGAAUAUUGGACAAUGGGCGAAAGCCUGAUCCAGCCAUGCCGCGUGAAGGAUUAAGGUCCUCUGGAUUGUAAACUUCUUUUAUUUGGGACGAGAAAAGGGAAUUCUUUCCCACUUGACGGUACCAAGUGAAUAAGCACCGGCUAACUCCGUGCCAGCCGCCGCCGUAA